rnacentral:rRNA from 1 species
UACGGAGGGAGCUAGCGUUAUUCGGAAUUACUGGGCGUAAAGCGCACGUAGGCGGCUUUGUAAGUUAGAGGUGAAAGCCUGGAGCUCAACUCCAGAACUGCCUUUAAGACUGCAUCGCUUGAAUCCAGGAGAGGUGAGUGGAAUUCCGAGUGUAGGGGUGAAAUUCGUAGAUAUUCGGAAGAACACCAGUGGCGAAGGCGGCUCACUGGACUGGUAUUGACGCUGAGGUGCGAAAGCGUGGGGAGCAAACAGG